rnacentral:lncRNA from 1 species
GCCAGAAUGAAACUGUUGACCUGGAGGUCUCAGACAACGAAGAUUCAGCUCCACAGCACCCUGAGAUCAGCCACUAAUUUCAGAAAACUAGCACACAUGCGAUGAAAUCACCACAUUCUGGAGUGACAACAUAUUCUGCAGAAACAGGGCUGGGAUGCUGGUGGUGCCUUGGUUUGACCUGAUUUUACUUUAUGCAAAUGUAAAAUGUCCAUGGGAGAGACUGACAGUGGAUUUCAUAGCACUGCAAUUUGAUUUUAGUAUUAAACAACCAAAGGAAAAAAAC